GCCUCGGUGGUGUAGUGGUAGUAGCACGUAUCUCCAGUCUUAAUGAAACGCGGGUACAAUUUCCGCCUGAAGCU